rnacentral:rRNA from 1 species
GACGAAGGGGGCUAGCGUUGUUCGGAAUUACUGGGCGUAAAGCGCGUGUAGGUGGUUGUUCAAGUUGGAUGUGAAAGCCUUGGGCUUAACCCAAGAAAUGCAUUCAGGACUGAGCGACUAGAGGACCGGAGAGGAUAGUGGAAUUCCCAGUGUAGUGGUGAAAUACGUAGAGAUUGGGAAGAACACCAGUGGCGAAGGCGGCUAUCUGGACGGUUUCUGACACUAAGACUCGAAAGCGUGGGGAGCAAACAGG